UAAUACGGAGGAUGCAAGUGUUAUUCGGAAUGAUUGGGCGUAAAGCGUCUGUAGGCUGUAUAGAAAGUCUUUUGUUAAAUGCCUCGGCUCAACCGAGAUCCAGCAAAGGAAACUUCUAUACUUGAGGGAAGUAGAGGUACAGGGAAUUCCCGGUGGAGCGGUGAAAUGCGUAGAUAUCGGGAGGAACACCAAUAUGGCGAAGGCACUGUACUGGGCUUUACCUGACGCUCAGAGACGAAAGCUAAAGGAGUGAUUAGGAUUAGAUACCCUAGUAAUUUUAGCCGUAAACGAUGGAAACUCACUGCCGAGCGAAAUACAACGAGCGGUGGUCAAGCUAACGCGUGAAGUUUCCCGCCUGGGGAUUACGCUUGCAAAAGUGAAACUCAAAGGAAUUGACGGGGACCCGCACAAGCGGUGGAGUAUGUGGUUUAAUUCGAUGCAACACGAAGAACCUUACCAGGGUUUGAAAUCAUUUCAAAACUCCUUGAAAGAGGAGCCUCCUUCGGGAUGAAAUGACAGGUGGUGCAUGGCUGUCGUCAGCUCGUGUUGUGAAAUGUCGAGUUAAGUCUCGUAACGAGCGCAACCCAUGUCUCUUGUUGCUCACUGAGUGCUUAAGAGAGACUGCCGACCAACAUCGGAGGAAGGUGUGGAUGAUGUCAAGUCAGCAUGCCCCUUACAUCCUGGGCUACACACGUACUACAAUGGUAGGGACAAUGAGCUGCGAUCCUGCGAAGGCUAGCCAAUCUCAAAAACCCUAUCUCAGUUCGGAUUGUACUCUGCAACUCGAGUACAUGAAGGUGGAAUCGCUAGUAAUCGCUGGUCAGCUAUACAGCGGUGAAUACGUUCCCGGGUCUUGUACACACUGCCCGUCACACCAUGGAAGCCGACUCUUCCCUAAGUCGUUACUCGAACCCACUGGGACGAGGAUGCCGAAGGCAGGGUUGGUGACUGGGGUGAAGUCGUAACAAGGUAGCCG
rnacentral:rRNA from 1 species